rfam:Dipodomys ordii contig_71839, whole genome shotgun sequence.
GGGAAAGUGGCUCAGUGGUAGAGUGCUUGCCUUGCAUGCAUAAGGCCCUGGGUUCAAUUCCUCAGCACCA